rnacentral:rRNA from 1 species
UACGGAGGGUGCAAGCGUUAUCCGGAUUCACUGGGUUUAAAGGGUGCGUAGGCGGGUUGGUAAGUCCGUGGUGAAAUCUCCAAGCUUAACUUGGAAACUGCCGUGGAUACUAUCAAUCUUGAAUAUCGUGGAGGUAAGCGGAAUAUGUCAUGUAGCGGUGAAAUGCUUAGAUAUGACAUAGAACACCAAUUGCGUAGGCAGCUUACUACACGAUCAUUGACGCUGAGGCACGAAAAGCGUGGGGGAGCAAACAGG